rnacentral:rRNA from 1 species
CCUACGGGAGGCAGCAGUGAGGAAUAUUGGUCAAUGGACGAGAGUCUGAACCAGCCAAGUAGCGUGAAGGAUGACUGCCCUAUGGGUUGUAAACUUCUUUUAUAUGGGAAUAAAACGUUCCACGUGUGGGAUUUUGUAUGUACCAUAUGAAUAAGGAUCGGCUAACUCCGGUCCAGCAGCCGCGGUAAUACGGAGGAUCCGAGCGUUAUCCGGAUUUAUUGGGUUUAAAGGGAGCGUAGGUGGAUUGUUAAGUCAGUUGUGAAAGUUUGCGGCUCAACCGUAAAAUUGCAGUUGAAACUGGCAGUCUUGAGUACAGUAGAGGUGGGCGGAAUUCGUGGUGUAGCGGUGAAAUGCUUAGAUAUCACGAAGAACUCCGAUUGCGAAGGCAGUUCACUGGACUGCAACUGACACUGAGGCUCGAAAGUGUGGGUAUCAAACAGGAUUAGAUACCCGAGUAGUC